rnacentral:tRNA from 1 species
UUUUUGCUUUGCACACCCGAUUUUGGGUCUGUAGCUCAGUUGGUUAGAGCGCACCCCUGAUAAGGGUGAGGUCGGCAGUUCGAAUCUGCCCAGACCCACCAGUUACCUGGUGAAGUUGGUCAGAGCGCGUACGACACCCGGAUACGGGGCCAUAGCUCAGCUGGGAGAGCGCCUGCCUUGCACGCAGGAGGUCAGCGGUUCGAUCCCGCUUGGCUCCACCACUUACUGCUUCUGUUUGAAAGCUUAGAAAUGAGCAUUCCAUCCUGAUUGAAGGGUGCGUGA